UGAUGUGGCUAGAACUAUGGUCUUGGUUGGGUUUCCCAUGAGCAAGAGUGCAUGCCCUGUAGGUAUCUAUUCUUAAGAUAUUUGCAUCUUAGAGAAGUGAAGACGAAGUUGGAUAAGGUUGGAUAGUCUCAGGCUAAAGGAAAUUAUAGAUUGACUACGAUUGGUCUAUUUGAUAGGAACUUCAGGAACCAGCUCAUUGAUAUCGAUCGCAAAUGUAAGUUGUCAAUUAUAAAGAAUGCGAGUAUCUUGUUGGAAGAGCUUAGAAAUAAGGUGCGGAAGAAGUCAAGCAAAUGGUUAAGAUAGAAAAGGAAUUGCUAGAAAAGGAGUUUCAAGAGGGUGGUGAUGGUGGCUCUUCUUAAAUUUAAUCUUUUGUCGUAACUGGAGUGGUUUUAUUUUCAUCAUGAAGCUUGUAGCAUGGAAUGUUAGGGGUUGGAAAACCCUAGAAAGAUGAUUUAGUAAAGUAUAGAAUCUAGC
rnacentral:lncRNA from 1 species